GGCCAUUCUCCUGCCUCAGCCUCCCGAGUAGCUGGGACCACAGGCGCCCGCCACCAUGCCUGGCUAAUUUUUUUGUAUUUUUAGUAGAGACAGGGUUUCACCGUGUUAGCCAGGAUGGUCUCGAUCGCCUGACCUCGGGUGAUCCACCUGCUUCAGCCUCCCAAAGUGCUGGGAUUACAGGCAUGAGCCACCACCCUGGUUUCAUUUAUCUUUUAAAGAAUAUAGUGACUCAGGCAAGAGACGUAGCGGGGUUUGUCUUUAAAGCAUCUUUCUGGAGAGCUGCAUGUUGUCACAGAAUCAGGGGCUUGUGAAAUUAUGCUGGCAUGCAGAAAUGAGAAACAUGGCUUCUUAAAUUUGUUACUUUGUCUUAUAUGACCCAUGCUACCCCUUCAGAGGACCAGAUCUGGGAAGAAGCUAACAGUAUGCAGUAUGCCACCUCUUCAUGUGUUGUUUAAAACCUUGAUUUGUAGUGUUUGUCUAUUUCCUAGUAUAAAUAUGGCCAAUGUCAAGCUACCAACAUGACAUCACUUAACCUGGAGUUAAGAUGCCCACAGUCCGUUCUUGCAAGCCAGGAAGAGUCGGCUCCAGCACCCCACUUGGUGAGGCCAGCCCUGAGAACAGCAGAGCUGGGAGCGAAAAGCACCUGCACACAGAUCUGCACCACAGAUUUGCCUCCACGUGGGCAGCUUUCUGUUACUUGGGGCCAAAUGCAUCCCACACCCUGGAGGACUGCACGGCAAGAAGAGAAGAAAAUCCAGGAGCAACCCGGAGGAACGGACAGGAUUUAUGCAGCAGGCAGAGGAAGAGGAGGCCGUGAGCUCAGCUGCCACAGUAAUGUGGUGAUGCCAAGGGGCACCUGAAGGGCUAAGUAUUCCAAGACAGCAAUGUCAGGAAAGGCUGCUCAGGUUUGAGGAGUGGGACCGGCAGAGCUGGAUGAAACCUGACUAUGCUGAAGCGGAAAUGGAGACCCUGGGAGGGGCAGGGACCUGCUGAGUGCCUCCCCCAGGGAGUAGCUGACCUGGACUGCAUCCUGGUUCUCCUGCUGAGGGAGGAGGAUUUGGGGGUAAGGAGACUAAGUGUGGCCUUAGGAAUACAGCCCCCAGAGCCAGGCAGGAGCGGGCAGCCCCACAGGGCCCAGGUUCAAGUGCGAGGCUGCCAAUACCGCCCCUUGGAAGCACCUCUGUUGUUCUGUCCUGGAUGUUUGAGUCCUUGGCCAGCUUCCUGGGCAAUGGCCUCAUCCCACUGAGACGGACAGAUGUGCACAGCUGGGGGAGGGGCUUGGUGAAAUCCAACCCCGCCCAGCACAGGCCUGGGCUUCCCGGGGCUGGAACUUAUCUGGAUUCUGGUCCGGAUCUCUGCCUUGGCCCUGUUGUGCAGCUCUGGGCAGUGCCGUGGCUUCCCCUUGGGCCUCAGUUUUCUUGUCUCUCAAAUAGGGGAAGCUCUUCAUUCUUUCAUUAGACAUUGACUGUGGUUGUCCGUCCUUGGCCCACUGACUUCAGUAUUUGGGGAUGCAUUAUCUGGUUGUAGGAUACUUCCGCCCUUCUAUUUUAAAAUUUGUCUCAAAAAAUUAUGGUAGAAUGGUCUGGGUGCGGUGGCUCAUGCCUGCAAUCCCAGUACUUUGGGAGGCCGAGGCAGGCAGAUCACGAGGUCAGGAGAUCAAGACCAUCCUGGCCAACAUGGUGAAAACCCGUCUCUACUAAGAAUACAAAACUUAGCCGGGCGCGGUGGUGGGCGCCUGUAGUCCCAGCUACUCGGGAGGCUGAGGUAGGAGAAUCACUUGAACCCGGGAGGCGGAGGUUGUGGUGAGCCGACAUCGGGCUACUGCACUCCAGCCUGGCAACACAGCGAGACUCCAUCUUU
rnacentral:lncRNA from 1 species